CAUAAUAUUUUGUGUGUGCUGUUAGACUGAGGAGCUGUGAAGAAAGGAGAUAUAAACAAGGAAGAUCACUGUCGAGUUGGAAUGAAAUUGGAGAUAUAAACUCAUUAUUUAUAAUAUAUAGAAUAACCUGGCAGCAAAGACGACUGCUAUCAGCUUCUCUCUAGACACACAUGCCAUUGUCUAUAUAAAGUGGAGGAAGCUUUGAGGAUACCUCCUUCUAACCCUGAAUUUCAAGAACAAUCUAAUGCUUUCCUGAUUCAUGAUGAGUGUGACAGAGUAUCUCAUGGUACUGUGAGGGGACCAGAUUACCCCAGGAAGGGGGUGGUGAGUCAGAACCAUGAAGUUCCUGGUUAACCAAGACUACACUGCCUUAAGUACUUAAGAAUUAAUGGAUGAUGUUAAGAAAAUCUCAUGCAAAGAAGAAGGCGGACACCGCAGGAGAAUGUACAUUAUUUGACCUGCAGCCUCAGUGAGCCCACCUCACAGCCUCGCCCUGGCCGGACAUGGUGGGACUGUUCUCUCUGGACACGGACAUCGCAGUUCGCAGACCAGCAGCAAUGCAAAGACACCUGACUGAACAGCUGGGACUCAUGAUACAGAGGGUUCUGAGGAUAAACACAUCUUUUUCUUAAAGGUGUAACUAGAGUACUGACUAAUACGAAAAGGGAAUGCAUCUUGAGGAUCGUAAAUCAUUUUAGAAUGAGAAUAUGGGUGCUGAGUGAGGAGAGCACAAUGGACUAUGGUGGAGGACUAAGAGUACUUUGGUGGAAAACUAUGGGGACCACACCUGAGGGGAGAAAUCCUAUAUUGUGGGAAAACAAACAAGGAUAUAAAAUAAUGGUAUGUCUUUAAAAAAUUUUUAAAUCAUUUUAGAAUGAGAGCAAAGUAUUCAAAUAAUCUUAU